AACCAUAGAAACCUGCGGAGUACCUGCGGAAGGAUCAUUAACGAGUUGCCAAAGUCGGCCGACCGUGCUGGCGGACACGCAUGUGCACGUCGGUCGCAAACUCAUCCACACACCUGUGAACGUAUGGCCUUCGGGUCUCUGACUCGGGGGCAACCCUUUUUUACCCACUCUGUUUGUAAAGGAAUGUCCUGUGCUCAUGCGCAAAAUGAAACAACUUUCAACAACGGAUCUCAGAUCGGA
rnacentral:misc_RNA from 1 species